UGUGUUCCAACUUCCCGAGCAUCCACGACACCUAAAUCUCGAGUCCGCCCCUCCCUCCUCAAGGUAAUGAUAAAAUCUGCGUACACUACAAAUACCACUCUCUACCUCCUCUCUAUCUACUAUCUCAACACUAUAAAUACCACCAUCCAAUCACAAAUCUUUGCACUCACCAUUUCACAAGCAAAACCAAUUCUUUAAAUCAAGAAUACAUUUUUUUUUUGCUACAAUGGCUUCCAACAAGGUUUUCUCCACUCUUGCUCUUUUCCUUACCCUUAACUUAAUUUUCUUCACAUUUGUUACAAGUUGUGGCACUUGUCCUAAACCAAAACCACCCCCAAAACCAAAGNNNNN
rnacentral:lncRNA from 1 species